UGCCUGUGGCUGCCUCCCUCUGUGUAAUUAAAAGGCGAUCGGGAGAGGUGUCCCUAAUUUCUACACUAAAACACAAAAAUUCUACUAGUCUGCCUGCUACUUCUUUCCGGUUCUGCGUGGGCACAGCUCGGAGCUGUUGCAGUGGUGGUGACAGGCGGUGACAGAGCUCAGCCAGGGUGAGCGAGGAACAGGCUAUACAAAAAUAAAAGCAAAUCGGUGUCUUCUGCAGGAUUGCAGUGAGUAUCUUCCAAACCGGGACAAGGUUUGUCUCUCAAAGAGCAGGCAGGUGUUUGGGUACCCAGCGAAAGGAAAACGUGGCUCCCCGUUUCCUGUCCCUUUCUCCGCUCACAAGAUUUUCUGCACUCCUGGGGGCUCAUCUGGGAUCCUUCCACCUUCCAGGGAUGGCAGGUGACAAAUGGAGCUGACGGUGCACCUCACCAAAGCUUUGGUGAUCAGUUAGCUUCCAGAGCUGCUGGUGCUGGAUGACUGAUUGGAUACCUGAGACUGUUCAGGAGACAGAUGAGCAACAGACUGCAAGGGUCCGUGAAGAGGUCUGCAGUGAGACACCACUGAAAAUCUCCCCAGUGGUGAAAUUGGAUUGGGGAUCCAAUCUUUUGAAGACUGGCAGCAUGAAAGGUGGCGGUUUUAAGCUGGACAAUCUGCUUUGACUCCAGGGUGUCUAACCUUUUUCUUGCUAGAAAAAAGGUUUGAAAAAUUCUUCUGAUUA